rnacentral:lncRNA from 1 species
GAACCACCAGGUCAGCUGGAAGGUAUCUACCCUCUAUGCACACUGGACUGAACCGACAGACUGACUCUGCCAAAGAUGGAUCACAUUUGGGUCCACUGACCCAUAGAGGACACUCUAACUCAGACACCAUCAGACCCAACCUCUCUGCAGCUCUAGAAGAAAUGAAAGAGUGAGAAGCACCGGGGUCCAUUAAAGCAUACACCUCUGAACACCCAAUGAUGAGAUUACCUGACACCACCGUGUUCGACGUGUCUGCCUCCUGCUGAGUCAGGGUGAAAAUCCGUGCUGGGGCUGACGGACCUGCACCUCGGGAACCCAUCCCUGAUGAAGAGGCUGCCCCUCUUCCUCUUCCUCUGCCACUGCUUGGUGGUAUGGCUGAAGCUACUGG